UAAUACGAAGGGGGCUAGCGUUGCUCGGAAUGACUGGGCGUAAAGGGCGCGUAGGCGGAUUGUACAGUCAGAUGUGAAAUUCCUGGGCUUAACCUGGGGGCUGCAUUUGAUACGUAUAGUCUUGAGUGAGGAAGAGGGUUGUGGAAUUCCCAGUGUAGAGGUGAAAUUCGUAGAUAUUGGGAAGAACACCGGUGGCGAAGGCGGCAACCUGGUCCUUUACUGACGCUGAGGCGCGAAAGCGUGGGGAGCAAACAGGAUUAGAUACCCUGGUAGUCCACGCUGUAAACGAUGUGUGCUGGAUGUUGGGUGACAUAGUCACUCAGUGUCGUAGCUAACGCGCUAAGCACACCGCCUGGGGAGUACGGCCGCAAGGUUG
rnacentral:rRNA from 1 species